rnacentral:lncRNA from 10 species
UAUAAAGCCAUUAAGGAAUGGAUAAUUUCCAUAUUGUAAACAUUAUCUACCUACCUACUUACACAUACACAUACAAUUUCUGGAUUGUAGAAAACGAUUAAAAGGCUCUAACCUAUUGUAUGAGUUUUUAAUAAUAUUACUAAAAUAUGUCAUGUAAUAUUACAUAAUAUUACAAAGAAAGAGAUAUGUCAAUAUCCCUCAUGAACAUAAAUGCAGAAAGUCUGAGUUGGAGAUGUUGACUGGGAGAAAUCAACACGAGAAUGGUAACAGAACCCAUCCCUCUACAAAAUUAAGGAUUGAAUUAAAGGAAUGUUACAUCAUCACCAAGUAUGGUUUAUGAUGGCUCAGGAUAUCUCAUUAACUCAUUAAAAAAUAAACACAAUGUGAUUAUUUAAAUCAAUUCAGGAAAAUAAUGAUUUACAAAAUUAACACCUAUUCCUUAUUUUUAAAAUGUCUUAGCUAUGAAUAGAAGGGAAAUUCUCAGCUUGAUAAAUGUAUACAUUAGAAGUCACUAACAUGCAUCCUACUAUUGGUGAUAUCAGAGGAUUUCCAAUAAAAUUAGGAACAAGGUCAAGAUGUCCAGUAACACUGUGGCUAUUCACAGUGGAAGGAGGGGUGGAAAGUCAGGAGCAGGUGUGGGAGGUAAGAAGGUAAACUAGACAGAACCUAUUGGAUGUAGAGCUAAGCGGGGAACUAAGUAACUCCAGGAGGAGGCCAAGCUUCCUGGCCUUGGCACUGGCAAGGGUGGGGGCAGAAGUUGUUACUGAGAUCAGGAGCACAGUAAGAACAUGUGUAAGGGGUCUAAGAAGGUCAAUAUUGGACAUGCUGACAUGUUGACUUUGAGAGCCCCAUUGAGAUGGCAUCCUGGAGCUUGAGAGAAGUCUGAGUUGGAGCUGUAAAAUCAGGAGGUCAGCACAAAGAUGAUAAAGACAGCCAUAGGAGGUGCUGAGAUGGCCCAGAGAAGCAGAGGAACAAGGUACUGCACUCCACGCUCCAGCUAGAGUGAACAGUGAGUCUGUUCCAAGCCUAUUGGCUCCUCUCUCAUCUCAGUGCAUUUACUUCUUCCAUUGGAACUCCCCACAAUCCUCUGCCCCCCAUCCCACUCUCUCGGCCAACUCUUACUCAUCCUUCAUGACUCGGCUUAGUUAUCAACACCGCCUUCUCACAUCAACCCCUGUAAGGCUAGAUCCCACUCUCUGUGCUCUCAGAGGGUCAGCAGUCCGACACAAAAAGUCAGGGUUCUGCUAUAAUGCUAAUAUAACAGAAAACUGACAAUCUCAGUGUCUCACAACAACAAAUAUUUUAUUUUUUUGCCCAUCAUGGGGCACGAGCUGGGGCAGCUCUGCUGCAGGCUGCAGCUGAUGAGGUCUGUUCCUCAUGUCUCUCAUUCUAGGAUGUGCUUCCAUUCUAGGACAUGCUCUUAUUUUUGCAGGUGGUGGAAGUGCAAGAGGCCAAGCCUAGCUGUAAGCACAUAGAAAGCCUCUGCUUUGUCACAUCUGCUCACAUUCUGUUGAUCAAAGCAAGGAACCUGGCCAAGCUCAAAGUCAGAGGGGCAGGAAAGCAGACUCCGUAGUACAGAUUCACAAGGCAGAGGUCAUGGGCAUGCAAUUUCAUCAUAGGAAGGAAGUGAAGAAUUGGGGACAACAAUCCAACCCACUCCACUGCUGAGUACCACCUCUGAGUGUCAGGCUUUAUGGCCUUGGCCUAGUUGCUUGUCUUCCCACUAGGUUCUCAGUGCCUUCAGGACAGGACCCUGGCCAACUUACUUAUUACGGUAUCUCCAGUUAUGACCACAGUGCCUGCUCUAGUGAGUCAUGGUGAUCCAUAUACAUCUACUGAAUGAAAAAUUGGAUGUGAGGGGUCUCAGAGCCAAGAUGGAAGAGUGUUUCAGAAAAAACAGGGAGUGAUCAACACCCGAAGGACCUCAAGACUGGAGAGUACUGUUCAGAUUGAAUAACUUUAUGUUCAUUGUUAACCCUGGAAAAUACAGCUUCAGGGAAGUGCCAGGGCUGGGGAGUCAGAAGUCAGACUGCAGUGGGAUGGGCAGUGAAUGAGUGGUGAGGAAGUACAGGUGGUGAGUGAAGACCACUUUUCCAACUCUUAGGGAAUAGGUUAUAAGUAAUGUAUGGUAAAGGAGGGAUUUUAAAGAUAAGAGAGGUUCAAACGAGUUUACAGGCUCAAGGGAACAGGCAAGUAAAGAGGGUACAUUAGUCUGUUUUGUGUUGCUAUGAAGGAAUACCUGAGACUGGGUAAUUUAUAAAGAGGUUUAUGUGCCUCACAGCUCUGUAGCCUGUGCAAGCAUAAAACCAUCAUCUGCUCAGCUUCUGGUGAUACUUCGGGAAGCUUUUACUCAUGGCGGAAGGCUCCGGGGAGUAGGCGUGUCACAUGGCGAGAGAGGGAGCAAGAGAGAGGCCAGGCUCUUUUAAACAAACAACUUUCACACGAACUAAUAGAGCAAGAACUCACUCAUUACUACCAGGGUAGCACCAAAUCAUUCAUAAGGGAUCCACCCCUAUGACCCCAACACCUCCUGCCAGGCCCCACCUCCAACAUUGGAAGUCAUAUUUCAACAUGAAAUUUGGAGAGGACAAACAUUCAAACUGUAUCAGAGGGAGACAUUGAAUAUACCUGCGAGAGAGAGGAUAACUGAGAGGGAGGUACGUUAGGUAGUGCAGCAGGGAUGAAAUGCAGCAUAGGCAGGUGUGUGUGCGUGUGUGUGUUUGUGAACAUUUGUCAUGUUUGGGCUGUUAAGCAUCCACCCAGCCCUCCUCGUUAGAGGAAAUCCCCACUGAGUGUGGUCUUGCGAGGAGGCAGUGCCUGGCUACUAGCUGUGGGAGCUGAGGGGCUGUGCUUUCCUCUUCUGUCCCCUGGUAGCAACAUACCAGCUUGUGACUUGAGCUCAGUCAGUCAAACACUCUCAACAGACUUUGAACACACCAAUGGAUAGUCAGUCAGGGCUCUUUCACGGUAGUGGUGGGUGCGCCCCACAGAAAACUCCUAUGCUCCCUCUUUUUGGUCUUCAGAGGUCACUGUGUUGCCCUAGUUUCACACUUCCUCUUGGUUCUAUGAGUCUUCAGUCCCCUUCCAGUGUGUUUUGUUUCUCUGUUUUGUUGUUGUUGUUGCUGCUAUUUGGUGUUUUUGCUUAUUGCUUGUUUUUUGUUAUUCUAUGGAUGACAGAGUCUAGCUGAUGGAGGAUGGGGUCAACAAGCCAGGACAGGAUGAUGCCAGGCUCUCACUCCUGGCAUCCCAGUCAAUCUGUGCCAUGUGGAGAUGAACAGAUUAACUGUACCCACAGAAAAGCUGCCAUGUUUUCUGAAUGUUGGUCAUUGCUAUAGCACCUUCCCAAUGUUUUUCAUGUCCACACAACAGCACCUUACAUGGAGCUGCAUUAUGUGCUACUGCCUAAUAUUUUAUUCCAGUUGACUAGAUUUUUAUUUAAAGACAUUGAUUUAAAAAUCACCAUUUCAAAUGAAAACCCAGAAUAAUUUGCUUUAGUUAAAAAAUAUAUACAUAUAUAGAAAACAAAAUAAUGUUAAGUUCUGGACGAAUACUAUUACAUGAUGAGGGUUCUCAUCCAAAGCUCUUUGUUAAAAGGGGAGAUUAGCAAAUGUUGUGGUUGUUAAAGACAUGUUACUCCCAAGCUGAGACUUCCUUCUUGAUUUAAUCGGACACACUGAAGCAGAAGCAGAAGCAGAAGGGAGUGACUUUCUCACUUUGUGAUUUAAUGUUAUUUAAGACUGAGUCAGCUCACCCUUAAAUCAUCUCAAAUGUCAAUGGGGUGCAUUUCCUGCCAUCUCUAGGCAGGGUGCAGCGAUAUGGGGCAGAGCAUGGAAAUUGCCAAAGGGAGGCACCAAAACAUUUAUGCUAUUGGAGUUUCAGGGAAGGUUUUACGGAAGUGGGACUUGAAUUCUGAAAUACACACAGGAGAGCAGAGGCCAUUUCAGUCAUGGGAAACAUAAAAAUAAGGAGGUGAAAGUAAACAGCGGGGAUAUAGGAUGGUAUAGACCAGCUAGGCUAGAGGGCAGAGGUUGGACACAAGCUCAGAAAGGGUCCUAUCCCUUCCCCCCGACCAUGGGUCUUCCCCAACUUUACCCUUUGUGGGCAGUGCCUUUGCUUUGCCAUCACCUGUUAUAUCUUGUGUCUUUAGCCUGUCCUUGCCCCUGGGAUGGGAGCCAUGCAUGGCCAGUUGUGAAUUAUUGUGCAGUAGCCAUUGUUUCCUAUUGACUUGCUAUGAGACGGGGUGGGUCUGGGUGUCCUGCUGGGUACUCCACUGGCUUCUAUGCCAGUGCUUAGCCGACUCCACCAAUUGGGUUGGCACAGCAGGUACCAAACUCUUGUGAAUCAGAUGCCAUGCUUUUUGCCAUUGCCAUGUUAGACAUAUACUACUCCUUAAUAACUACUCAAUAAUGAAAGCAACUCAUUGUUUAAAGGUGUAAAUAAAUCGACUUUAAAAAGACAUUUCAUAUUACUAUCAUAAAUGCAAAUCCAGCAUCAGUUGCUGUAAACAUGAGACAAUAAUUUAAAAUAAAUGCAUAACUAUCAAAAUAAUGCUUUUCAAGUACCAUAUAAAAUACCUGCUGAUAUUUUACCUCACUGCAAGAAAAUACUAGGCUAGAGAAAUGAAGCAGGUCCAUUUUUGGUAGAAAGGGGAAAAUCUUAGAGCCUCAGAGCUGGAUGGAGCCCCAGUAAAUGUCUAGGUCAUGGAUUGCAAGCUGUUUUCCCCCACCAAUAAUGGUCAUCCUUCCUCUUUCUUUCUCUCUGUCUCUUUUUUUUUUUUCCCUGGGAACGAUGCAUAAAGUAGCAAAACGUAGGGCUGAACCCUUUAAUGGGCUAUCUGUUUCUCUGGAGAAACCCAAAGAAACCCAUUCUGCAAACCUCAACCUUCAUCCCUUCCUCCCUCUUGUGCCAUGCUUGCCCCCAUACACAGAGAAGUAGCAUCAGUGCCCUCCACCACCCACAUCAGCAGCUAGGGGGAGACAGAAGCAAGUCAAUGGCCAAGGAGUGGAGGGUGGGCUGGGAGAGUUCACUUAGCUUUGUGACACCAGUGCACCCCCACAUUGGAUAGCACCCAAGGCCCUCAUCAAACAUUGAGUGCCAUGCUUGUUGAAGCCUGCAAAUAAUACCCCACGAGCCGCCAACUUCCUUUCCGAGGCACAUCUGCCUGGACCUCUGUUCUGUUUGGUGCCAAGGCACUAGGGAGGCUUUAAGGAGCAGGCCGUUGCCUUUCUCUACAUGUGCUUCAGGCCUGUCUUACCCUCCCCAUGGUCUCCGUCAUACUCCUUUCCUGAAUAUCAUUUCUUUCCCUUUCUCCUGCACACAAAAGCUCAACACGGAGUUCAUUCUGUGAGCCUAACCUUUUGCUUCCCGCACUUGGGCUGGCUCAAACGCCACUUGCAAAAAUGGUAAUCUCAGCAGGGCUGAGCUCAGUUCCUGCUGCCCCUUUCCAAGUUUUUGUUUCGUUGCAGAGCUCUAAACCAGUGUCUCCCUCUGUGCUUGGGAGUAAGAGCAGCAUCAGACCAUUGCAAACCUACUGGAUUGGCUGAUACUCAUUGACUGGAUGGAGAUUUCAGAGGCAAACCUAGGCUUCUCCAGAGGAAAGUUCUCAGAAGGCAGUCACAUCUGGACAGCAUUCCUUGACUACGCAUCAAUAUUCCAUCAUGUCAUUGCCGGCUGUGAGGAGGAAAGUGACCUCCUAAACAAAUCCGUGCACGUGUAAAUGACAGCUGCUGGUUUGAAUCUGUUUCUUCUCCCACCACUUCCUCUUCUGAUCAAAGAGCCCACCUUUUCAUUUGGAGGAACCAUUUCUCAACUGGUCUCAUUCUGUGAGGUUUAGAGGUAGGAAUUGAACUUAGCUCUGUCUAGAGCCAAAUCUACUCCAAAAGUGUUCUUAACCACUACUGUGGGGUGGCUGACAGUACAGGCUCUGGAGUGACAUCUGCCACAGUUCAAAUCUCAGCCAUACCUCAUACUAGCUAGGAGGCUGGGGUAAAUGCCGCUCACCUUUCUAGCCUUAAUUCCUUUAUCUCUCUCAUGAGCUUAUUGUGAGAAUUUAAAAGAUAUAAUAACCAGAAAGCACUUAGUAUAGUUCUUGGCUCAUUAAAGUGCUCAACAAAUAAUAACUAUUAAUGUUUAAAUUAUUAAGACUCUAGUUGGCUGAAGAAAAGUGAUAGGAAAGCUAGAGGCUCUGGUCUUUACUCUGGGAGCUUCUAGAGAACUCAGACUUUGGUUAUUUCUCUCCUGUCCCUGAGUCCUACCCACAUUGUAAGAGUGAGUGAGUGAGUGAUGAUGGUGUGUUUGUAGAAUUCACAAACCCAUUGAAUAUUCUUCCUGAAGCUUAGCUAAGUGAGCUCCCUGCCAGGAACUUAUGUGUGGACAGCCACGAAUCGUGGCAUCAAAUAAUAUUUAAUUUCACUUCUUCCUAAAUAUUACUGAAUUCCAUUCCCAGUAACUUUCCCUUUUGAAGUUCUCUUUUUGAGGCAGUUCAAGUGGAAAAAGAAAUAACCUAGAAGCAAGUAAAACAACCUUAUUCAAAAACAACAAAAAUCCUUCAGGUAAGUGCAAGGAACUGGGCCCUUUUGUGUUUUUUUGUGUAAAUUAUUUAGUAUACUGAUUAUCCAACAUGUCCUUUAUUAUUUUAGAGACUGCUUCUUCCAUCCCCUAGGGAGAGUGUUUUUAGCUCCAUGGAGCAUGAAUUUUUUCACUUAUCUAGUGAUGAUUAGGUAUAAAAAUCCUUUUUGGUAAGAGAUUCCACUUUUAAUGGUCUCUUCAAUGAACAGUUUUCUGUAAAUAUUGUAUAAGUCUAUUCAGGGAAAAAGAAUGCCCUUGCCUCUGGAUUCUUUAUAACUCCACUCUGAUGAGGGCAUCUGCUGAGUCCCAGCUUGUGGAUCUGCGAGGUUGAUGUGGACUCUAGUUCUGGAAUCCUCUUCUGUUUGGACUUCCUUUUUCCUUGUUAUUUUUUUUGCUUUGAUGGCAUUUGCAUUUCUACAUGGCCCUGGAGCCAGACUGUGACACUUGGUAGCUGUGUGACCUUAAACAAGCUAUUUAACUUAUCUCAUGCUCAUUUUCCUUACUAUAGUCUGAAGAUAAUAUCAGCAUCUACUUUUUAAGGCUUCAGUACAGAUUAAAUAAAUAUCACAGCACUUACCGUGUGCUGGGCACUGCACUGUACUGCCCAGCACAUGGUUAGUACUUCAUAUAUCAGCUCAUCAUCAUCACUGUCAUCAUCAUCGUCGUCAUCAUCGUUGUCGUCAUCAUCAAUGUCAUCACCACCAUUGUCAUCAUCAUCAUUGUUGUUGUCAUAAUCAUCAAGGUCAUCAUCAUCAUCAAGGUCAUCAUCAUCAUGCAAGUGGUUUCUUUACUUUCAACAUACACAGGCUGCCAAGGGGAUAGCCCUAAAUAUAAUUGCCCUCAUACAGAAUCUCUCUCUGACAACCCAAGGCCCAGCAGGCUGACUUCAUUAGUCUGCUCACCUAUAAAAGGGGUAAUAAUAGUAUCUACUUCACAGUGUCAUGAGGAUUAGAUGAGUUAAUAAAUGUAAGGUGAUUAACAUAGUGCCUCACACAUAAUGGGUAUUCAAUAAACAAUAAGUCUUGUUGGAGUUCUUGCAGCUUAGCUCUUUGAGGGCUAAAUAUGCAAAGCAAAAACCCAAUAAAUUUAUUUUCUCAUUCUUAAAGAAAUAUUGAGUGCCUUCUGUGUGCCUGGCACUGUUCUAGCCUCAGGCAAAGAUAAAGUAGUCAUAGUGAGUACGACUAGCAAGUGACAAGGUUCUCACCCCAUUUACUCUCAUGGGAGAUGACUGACAACUACUAUAUAGCUAUGUUGUAUAAUAAUACAUGCUAAUGGAAAAAAAUAAAGCAUAAACAUAGCAAGGGAAUAGGGAAUAAAGAGAGUCAGAAUAGGAGAUGGGGUUGUUAAAAUAGAUAGAAUGGGCAUGGUGGCUCAUGCUUAUAAUCCCAACACUUUGGGAGGCCGAGAUGGGAGGAUUGCUUGAGUCUAGGAGUUUGAGACCAGCCUGGGCAACAUAGUGAGACCCCCCCCAUCUCUAUAAAAUUUUUUAAAAAAAUAGCCAGGGAUGGUGACAUGUGCCUGUGUAGUCCCAACUACUCAGGAGAUAGAGGUAGGAGAAUUUCUUGAGCCCAGGAAGUGGAGGUUGCAAGUGAGCCAUGAUUGCGUCAUUGCACUCCACCCUGGGAAACAUAGCAAGACCUGUCUCAAAAAAAAAAAGAAAACUCAUUAGCAAACUCCCCGAGCCACCUGUUGGCCAGGACAUUCACCUUUAGAGGACAUAACACUUCCCAAUCGAGCUUCCCAUGUAGUUCAGAGAGUAGACAACUGCAGUCUCUAAACUACUGAUACGGCACAUCAGCUAAUUAAAUUACUGCACACUGCUGAUUGCAAGGCUAAAGCCAGUGGAGUGAUUUGUUAUUAUCCUCUUGAAGAACAAUCGAUGGGCAAAAUAUUAUUAGAUUUGAUUUUUCUAAAAAGCUGGGAGUAAAGGUAUUUAAUUAAGAUUGUGUCAAAGCUUGGCUCUGGUUUUCCCCUUUGGCCCUUUUCUUUUCAUUUCAACUAUGAAAGUGUUCCUCUUAGAAAAAUGUGAAGAAACUAGUUUAUCUCCAUUAUUGCCAAAGUACAAGUUGUAUUUUGUCAACUUACUCCCAAUCCAUAUUUUAAGUUGCUAUCAGGGCUCUUUGUGCAGGAAAAAUCUAAUCCAAUACAACCCAUGCUAGAGUGUGGUUGAGCUUCAUUUCAUGCCGAGAAUCCCAAGGAGGGACUAUAGUCUGGGUAGAGACUUUGGCUAUAGCUCUCCAUUUAUUCAUUCAACUCACUCAUUCACUAUGAAUUAAUUCAGCUCCUCAUUUGUGCAAGAUACUGUGUUAGCAGCAGAGCAUACAAUUGAAGAAAAGACAAAAUUUUGAUGUUUCUUCCUCAAAACCCUUGAACAAACAAUGGGAGACUACCUGUAAAAGAGAAAUGACUUGAUGCCACCAAAUUUUAUUUGUUUCUCCCUAGGAAUGGCCCCUCUUUCCCACUUGUUCAAAAGUAAUCUGUCCUUUAAACUCUUGCUUGGUUGAGGACUCUUCCAUGAGGCCUUCCCUGAAUACUCCAUUUCUUACUUGGAAUUCCCCACCCCCAUAUUUUUCCAACUGAGUUUCCUUUGAACAAUCUGUGCCAUAUAAUUUUUAAUCAAAUGUGUAUUGUUAUUUCUAUUUUGUCUUAUUUCCAAAUUAGAUUGCAACUUUUUUGAGGGCAUGGACAACAUCUUCUCCUUCUUUGCCUCAAAACAUCUACCUCGUUUAAAAUAAUCCAUUAUAUGAAAAAGAUACUUGCACAUGCAUGUCUAUAGCAGCAAAAUUUGCAAUUGCAAAAACGUGGAACCAACCCAAAUGCCCAUCAAUCAAUGAGAAAGAAACUGUGAUAUAUAUAUAUAUAUAUGAAUGAAUGAUGGAAUACUACUCAGCCAUAAAAAGAAAUGAAUUAAUGGCAUUCACAGUGACCUGAAUGAGACUGGAGACUAUUAUUCUAAGUGAAGUAACUCAGGAAUGGAAAACCAAACAUCAUAUGUUCUCACUAAUAAGUGGGAGAUAAGCCAUGAGGAUGCAAAGGCAUAAGAGUGACACAAUGGACUUUGGGCACUCAGGGAGAAAGGGUGGGAAGGGGAUGAGGGAUAAAAGACUACAAAUAAGGUGCAGUAUAUACUGCUCGGGGGAUAGGUGCACCAAAAUCUCACAAAUCCCCACUAAACAACUUACUCAUGUAACCAAACACCACCUGUUCCCCAAUAACCUAUGGAAAUAAAAAAAUUUAAAAAAACAAAAAACAGAAACAAAAAUCCAUCUACUUCCUUGAUCUCUUGCAUAGAACAGGCACCCGUUUAAUUGGAAAUGAGCAAACUUGUUGCUGAUGUUCCUCAGAUGAUUUGGUUUGACUCCAAGAGACUAUUCACAUCCACCAUCCAUUCAUCCAUCUAUCCACCAUUCAUCUUAUCCAUUUCUUCAUUCACCCACCAUUCAUCCCUCUGUUCACCAUCCAGCCAGCCAUCUAUCACCCAUUCAUCUAUCCCUCUACCAUCCAUUCCUUCCUUCAUUCACCCAGUAAAAGUUCAAUUGUGGGAAAACCUAUAGUUUUUAAAUCCUUUUAUUUUAUGACUGAUAUUAAUUGCUAUAUCCAAAAUGUCAAGAGAGAAUCAGCACAGAAAGUGAAUGUUAGAAAUGGAAUCAGAUGCAGAUGACUGGUCUUGGUAUCUGCCAUUUCCUCCCACCCAGAUGCCCUUUUGUUCUUAGAAGCCAAAGACAGUCAUCUUAGAAACUUUCGGGCAACAAAAUUCGUGCAGCCUUUGGAACUAAGAAUUACUAGUCUCUACUUUCUAAUGGUUUAGUAGUCAAUGGAUAUAUAUAAUUUAAGCCAUUUAAUUUGCUUUCAC